AGCCUGCAAUUACUGUAUAAUUCUUCGCAAUUUUAGAUGUCCUAAUAUGGACUGUAAUUUUUGAGCAAGACAAUUUCCAGCUAUUUCAAGCAUCAACAUUGUCAAAGUUGCAUGUACAUAAUAAAUGGGAAUAUCAAUGCAUAGUUUUUAGCAUAACAUCUUGACUCGGCUAUAAUUAUAUCCGUUUGGAGCCUACGCAAAAUUAGCCUGAAUUGCGUGCUAUAAAGAGGGAAAAUAAAGCUGGAGUUUUUCAGUCUUGUGCAGUGCUCUGCUGCUAAAGCUCCUAGCCCUGUGCUUACACGAGGCUCGUGCUCGGACCUGAAGCCUUCAACCAACCGAGUGACCACUGGAUACUAAAUACUGACUCAUAUGAAUACACGCCUGAUCUGCAUAUUCAUUUAUCUUACAACAGCUGCACACACUCAGGCCACAGUGGGAGAGAGUUAAAGGGGAGCCCUACCUCAUGGGUCCUCUGGGAGAGCAGACAGGAAUAAUUGUCUCCAGGCCUGGCCAGUGGUUCACACCUGCAAACAGAAACAGAUCAGAAACACAUUCACACAAACAUAAUAGACACUAAUAUUGACAUCUCCCAGUCCCAGACAGACUUUCUGCACCCUCUGAGAUUCUGCUGAAGAGUAAAACCAGCAAUAGGAGCUUAAAGCAUUCAGGUUAUUAUUAUUAUUAUUAUUAUUAUUAUUAUUAUUAUUAUUAUUAUUAUUAUGUUCUUUUUUACAUAACAUAUUUGUGCCAAAAUAUAUUUAAGAAUGCCAAACCAUUAAUGUUGAAUAUUAAUGAACUUGGUUUUAAUAUAACUCUCAUGCAGUGAAGAUUUAGUUUCUUUUGUUGUUGUUGUUGUUACUGCAUCCUGUUUUCCUGAAGACCUCUGGCUAUUCUUUAAUGUCCAGAUUACUUUUAUAUUUUCAUUGCUUCUCUAGAUAAACAGCUAUUUAUAUCCUAUUAUCCUGUAACAACACUUUUUGGUUGACUGAUAAAUAUAAUUUUAAUACAAUUUCGAACAAAUUGCUUUCCCUCAUACACACACACACACAUACAUACAUAUACAUAUAUAUAUAUAUAUAUAUAUAUAUAUAUAUAUAUAUAUAUGAGAGAGAGAGAGAGAGAGAGAGAAAGAGAGAGACUGUGCAAAAGUCUGAGGCACCCUAUUUUUUUCAUACAAACUUUGUUAUAGAUUUCUAUUGUAUGACUUCUACAUUAUCGAGUCAGUACAAAAACAUUUUAGAGUUCCAAACGUUCGUUUUCCAGCACAAAAUUAAAUGUUACAGGGAAAAAGUUUGUAUCUGAGCAACAUAUUUUAUAAGAGACCACUUUUCAGAUUAAAAAAGAAAACAUAAUGAAGGCUACGGGGUUUUGGCGCAAAAUUAAGAAGCAAGUGUGACAGUCAAAGUGUCCAGAAGAACUGGGGCUGGUUCUGUAUGAUGCUCAGUAAAACCUACAGCUCAUUUCCUUAUAAAACUGCACUAAUGGUACCUGAGACUACUAUUUUUUUAAGCAAAGGGUCGUCUCACACCAUGUACUGACUUUGUUUAAUUUAUUAUGGCUUACUGCUGUUUAUAGUAUUUUUUUAAUGUUGAAACAUUUAAUUUCAUUAUUUUUUAAGCCAUUUUUGAUCCACAGCAUUUCUUUACAUGUGCCGAAGACUUCUGCACAGUACUCUACUGUGUCCACCUAAAACACUUGAAAUAAUGUGGAAAUUAAGUUCACAGGUUAAACAAUUAUCAAAGAAAAACCUGAUGACUUGGUGAUGGUAUAUGGAUGACUAAGUUAAAAGAACAAGUGACAGAAGUGAUCAGAAUAAUAAUUUACUUAUUUAAUCUAUCACUUACAUGUCAGAACCUGAAUCAAAGGAAGGCCAGGAAAACCCACACAGAGGAAAAGGAGAUUGUCCAGCACCACACACACACACACACACACACACACACACACACACACACACACACACACACACACACACACACACACACGUCAGUGACAGCCCAGCAGCCUUUACCAUUAUCAUAGCAGCAGGAGUCAGAGGAACCUGCCUAGCCUCCUACCUGCCCCAAAAUUGCCCUCCAAAAUGAGCAAUUACCUGAGUUAGGUGUGACUGGUAGUAAAAAAUCUGGCCCAAUAGAUGGUGGCUACUUAAUGCAUCAACAACAAUAAAAUGAACCGGCUAUAAAAUUGUCACUUCUUGUAUUUUCUUGUGUCCACAGACUAAAGGACUGAGACAGGCAGUGAUCAAAUCUUCAAACUAAGCAGUAAAUUAAAAUCCAUGAAAAUCAAUCCCUGGUGAAGCAAAACCAUUUGGGGUCUGGUAUUCAGUGCAGCUACCCAUGAUUUUAACCAGCUGGGAUUGGGGACAGAACCUAGACCGGAUGGGGUAACAUACACAGUAUAAUAUGAUGGGCUAAACUAUUUGUUUAGAAUUUUCUCUGAUUCAUAUUAAAACAAGGUUUGAUUGCAUGGCCAAAAAGAAGCAACUCUUUGUCCAAUUAAUGGCCUUGUAAAUGGGGAAACAUGCAAAUUUUCCAAUUAAAUAAUUUGCUGUGCCUGAGGAUGAAGCGGGAUGUUCAGCUGUGGGGGCUGCGGUGGCAUGGCCCUUUUCAGGCUUUGUUAAGAGGUAAAGCCUUGAACAAAGACAGAAAGAGGUCAGUCCUCAGCGACACCUGAAUGCUCUCCCUCUUUUCUCUUCCCCUUGAUCCCUUCAGCCAGCCUGUCAUUAGCCUUAAUGAUGGAAAAUUGUCAUGUUGAUGUCUCUCUCUCCCUUUCUACCCCUCUCUAGCACACGCUCUCUUCCUCUCUUCUCUCUUUUGUAUAAGUAGUAGGUGGAAGCUCCAUUUAUUACAAAGUUCUUUUUUGCCUAAAAGCCAGGGACAUAGCAUUUGUGGCAUGAGGGGAAAAAAGGUGCUUGGAUGCUCUUUCCAUCACUGGGAUAAUUAUCCCCACUGUGACCUUAAUGAUCCUUCGUGUUCGGCCCGAGUCUCCUGCACGCGCCCAGCCACUCGGCUCCAGGCCCUUACUGGCUCCUCUCCUCUUCUCUCCUCUCCCAAUGUCCUGUGUCAGGGAAUAUGAAAACCUCUAUAAUGAAACCAUUUUAUCUGAUGGAAAAAAGGCUACUAGAGCUUCACUUGCUACAAAGACGACUCAAUUAUAUGAGUAAUUGUGAUAAUUUUCCUUCUAUUCACAGCCUUUUCUGAAAGGGAAGGAAAAGGGGGAAAACAGAAAUGCUGAAAAGGAAAUUACAUGCACAACAUGGAGUGCAAAAAACAGUACACACUAAAAAUGACUGCAAGAAAAGUAUAAGACUAUAAAUAAAUAUGUUAAUGUACGU